rnacentral:rRNA from 1 species
AGGAGCCGAUGAAGGACGGGACGAACACCGAUAUGCUUCGGGGAGCUGUAAGCAAGCUUUGAUCCGGAGAUUUCCGAAUGGGGAAACCCACUGCUCGUAAUGGAGUAGUAUCCAUACUUGAAUACAUAGAGUAUGAGAAGGCAUACCCGGGGAACUGAAACAUCUAAGUACCCGGAGGAAGAGAAAGCAAAUGCGAUUCCCUGAGUAGCGGCGAGCGAAACGGGAACAGCCCAAACCAAGAGGCUUGCCUCUUGGGGUUGUAGGACACUCUAUACGG